GACGAACGCUGGCGGCGUGCUUAACACAUGCAAGUCGAACGGUAAGGCCCCUCGGGGUACACGAGUGGCGAACGGGUGAGUAACACGUGGGUGAUCUGCCCUGCACUUCGGGAUAAGCCUGGGAAACUGAGUCUAAUACCGGAUAGGACCACUGCCUGCAUGGGUGGUGGUGGAAAGCUUUUGCGGUGUGGGAUGGGCCCGCGGCCUAUCAGCUUGUUGGUGGGGUGAUGGCCUACCAAGGCGACGACGGGUAGCCGGCCUGAGAGGGUGACCGGCCACACUGGGACUGAGAUACGGCCCAGACUCCUACGGGAGGCAGCAGUGGGGAAUAUUGCACAAUGGGCGCAAGCCUGAUGCAGCGACGCCGCGUGAGGGAUGACGGCCUUCGGGUUGUAAACCUCUCUCAGCACCGACGAAGCGCAAGUGACGGUAGGUGCAGAAGAAGGACCGGCCAACUACGUGCCAGCCGCCGCAGUAA
rnacentral:rRNA from 1 species